rnacentral:rRNA from 1 species
UACGGAGGAUGCAAGCGUUAUCCGGAAUUAUUGGGCGUAAAGCGUCCGCAGGUGGCACUUCAAGUCUGCUGUCAAAGACCGGGGCUUAACCCUGGAGAGGCAGUGGAAACUGAAGCGCUAGAGUGUGGCAGGGGUAGAGGGAAUUCCCGGUGUAGCGGUGAAAUGCGUAGAGAUCGGGAAGAACACCAACGGCGAAAGCACUCUGCUGGGCCGAAACUGACACUGAGGGACGAAAGCUAGGGGAGCGAAAGGG